rnacentral:misc_RNA from 1 species
UCAAACUUGGUCAUUUAGAGGAAGUAAAAGUCGUAACAAGGUUUCCGUAGGUGAACCUGCGGAAGGAUCAUUACAAAUCCAACCUGAGAGGGAUGGGUGGGUGCGGUGGGCGGGGUAACCAUCCCCUGCUCUCCCUCCCCCAGCCCUCUCGACCACACCACGUCGAAGUGUUCCGGUAUAGGCGGCGGCGGCGGGGGGGGGCCUUGCGCCCUGUUGCCUGCGCGCCGCCUGUGCUUCCAUAUACCACACUCGUUCACACACAGUUGCCCAAAGUGUGGCCGGCGGCCGGCGGCUCUCGCAGCCUCAGCUACCUACCCGUGCCAUACAACACACACAACACAACCUAGAACAACUUAUAACAAUGGAUCUCUAGGCUCUUGCAUCGAUGAAGAACGCAGC